CCUACGGGAGGCAGUAGUGAGGAAUAUUGGUCAAUGGACGAGAGUCUGAACCAGCCAAGUAGCGUGAAGGAUGACUGCCCUAUGGGUUGUAAACUUCUUUUAUAUGGGAAUAAAAUGUUCCACGUGUGGGAUUUUGUAUGUACCAUAUGAAUAAGGAUCGGCUAACUCCGUGCCAGCAGCCGCGGUAAUACGGAGGAUCCGAGCGUUAUCCGGAUUUAUUGGGUUUAAAGGGAGCGUAGGUGGAUUGUUAAGUCAGUUGUGAAAGUUUGCGGCUCAACCGUAAAAUUGCAGUUGAAACUGGCAGUCUUGAGUACAGUAGAGGUGGGCGGAAUGCGUGGUGUAGCGGUGAAAUGCUUAGAUAUCACGAAGAACUCCGAUUGCGAAGGCAGUUCACUGGACUGCAACUGACACUGAGGCUCGAAAGUGUGGGUAUCAAACAGGAUUAGAUACCCCAGUAGUC
rnacentral:rRNA from 1 species